rnacentral:rRNA from 1 species
UACGUAGGGUGCAAGCGUUAAUCGGAAUUACUGGGCGUAAAGCGUGCGCAGGCGGUUUUGUAAGACCGAUGUGAAAUCCCCGGGCUCAACCUGGGAACUGCAUUGGUGACUGCAAGGCUUGAGUGUGUCAGAGGGAGGUGGAAUUCCGCGUGUAGCAGUGAAAUGCGUAGAUAUCGGGAGGAACACCAAUGGCGAAGGCAGCUCGCUGGGGACGGUACUGACGC